rnacentral:miRNA from 1 species
UUCCUUCCAAUUGAUGAGAUGUAACAAUCUCAUCAACCGGAAGGGAUUCCUGCUGGUCAAUGAGUUUGUUAUACCUCAUCAACCGGAAGGAAUCCCUUCUGGUUGAUGAGAUUCUUGUUUCUUGUCGACCAGAAGGAA